rnacentral:lncRNA from 1 species
CACGAGCGGGGGCGGCAGGAAUGUGCGCCUGAUGGUAGGGUGAGAGGCUGCGGGUCCGGAAAUGGCCAAGGGUCCCCUGGAGUGGGAGCAGGGUCCGAGCCCGAGCCUGCCGCAUCUUCCGGGAGCGCAGCUGGGGGCGGCUCUCCGCCUGGCUGCCCCUGGGUCUGGUUGGCUUCAGUUUCCGCGUCCCCCUUCAAAGGAAGUCUGAGCCCACCCUGCCACCACGGAUAAACUGCUGUUCCUUCUGUCGCCGACUCCCUAGCGUUUAUAUUUUAGACUGGAGUAACAUUUCUAAUUAUUUCUCUACUACACUCUUCUUAAUGUCCGUCCCUCUCUUGGAAGUUAAAAGAAGGCAUCAGGCUGGAUCAGGUAAAGACUUACUGUAGGGGCUGGCCAGAUGGUUCAGUGGGCAAACGCAACUGUCACCUAGGCAGAUUUGAGUUUAUUUCCCAGGACCCACAUGGUCAGAAAGAACCAACUGAUGUUGUCCUCUGACCUCCACACGUGCAACUUGGCCUGAGCAACACACAUUUAUACACACGCACGCACGCGCACACAUACACAUAUGCACGCCUGCUUUCAACAAAAUUCUUUUCAAAAUGAAGACAGACAUGAUAGCCCAUGUAGCAGGCUUGGACGAUUGCUGAACAUUUAAAGGCAGCCUGAGUUACAGAGUGAAUAUCGGGUCAGCCCCUGCUGCCGUGUAAAAGAGCACCUGAAAUGUAGUUCAUCUGGCAAAGUUGGUAAAGUGUUUGCCUAGCA